GGUCGCUGGGCGUGUUUUGAUCAGGAAGUUUGAACGGGUGAGCGGGAGGUUACUCAGGGGAGGAGGUGCGGUCUGAGGUUUCUUCGUUUUCCCGGAAAAGGGGUCAUGUCCGGGACAUAGUCACUCAAGGUGGAGGACACAGAGCAAGAUGGAGUCGGCCGGCAUAGGCCCACCCUUUCAGCCGCUCUUGUCCAAAGUCCUGGAGCGCUGAGGAAGAGAACAGAAGCCUGAGAGGGGAAGUUACUUUUGUUCUUCCAGUAUCAAUAGAUCAACUAGAUGGCCCCCAAGAGGAACCACUGGCACCACGUCUGAGGGGGAGCUGGAACGCAGGUGUUCAUGCCGAGUCCAGGAAUGCUGGUUGGAAGGGAGAGAUGGUUGUGUGCACAGUUGAGCUCCUGGCACGGACCAGCCACUAUUCUAGGAACUCUGGAGGCAAACAUAAGACAGAUAUUCUCCACGUUUAGAAGACAGUCAGCCUUCAGCUGGACCACUUUUCCUUUGCCAUGACUUGGUGUGCUGAGUAUACAAGCUUAUCUUAACAUCAGUAGGAGAGGAUGCGUAUUGAGGGAAGACAAACCAACUGGGACAGACUUCGCUCCACGUUGCUUUUGAGGAAUACAGGAGAAAUUCCUGCAUAGAUGCCCAUGUUCACCUCCAUUCAUCUCCACCUGCAAAGAAACACACGGAUCUGGCUUCUUUGUGGAUUCUCUUUGAGUCCUGUGACACUCCCAGGAGUGGUUCCUACGUGAGGGCAUGUCACUCAUCAUUCCCCAACCGCCACCCCGGGGUCAGCUCAGAGCUUGGAGGAAGUAGCCUCUGAGUAAGAGCGCCACCCGUGGUAGACAUAACCCACAGCUCCAUCAGCCCAGAUCACUUCCUGGGUGCAGCCCAGAUCACUUCCUGGAUGUAGCCCAGAUCACUUCCUGGGUGCCUGUGUGUGCCUCCUUCUGAUCCCAGGUUCUGUUCACCUCACCUGACACUUUCAGAGCCAGUUCUCAAUUCAGAUGAUAAUCUAGCACGAAAAAUAAAACGACCCUCACCUAAAAGGAGCCACAGCGACAAAGGUGCGUUAAACAAAGCAUAGGCACUUUGAAAAAAAAUUGGUAACUGGUCGAGAGGAAAGAAUAUUCGGUUACUAUUUUUUUUUUUUUUUUUUUGGUUUUUGUUUUUUCCUGCUUGGCAUCGGGCUGUCUAUGUAAUAAGGAUGAAAUGGGCUUUAGAGGGACGAGGACCCAACAAUGCUUGAGAGGCUGGCUGGGGGGACAGCCUCCAAGGCAGAGCCAUUCAACUGCCUUCAGUCAUUUCCUAUUUUUAAUAUUAAAGGAAUAUGGAGAGAAACAGGACAGAACAUAGCGUUCUGGGAAACCAGUAAUCAAAUGGCCUAAAGCUAAUGUUUACUUUUUGGAAUGUUUUAUGAAGGCAUUACUUGGAGAUGUAAAAAAGAGAGAGAGCACCUAAUAAUAGCCUUUCAGUGGCGGAAACAGAAAAGCAGCACAGACAUGAUAAUUGAAUUUGGUUUGGAUGGUCAAAAUCUGUGUGAUCCUACAGCUGUAUUUUCUAAACCAUCCGCUUGACUUUUAAUACAUGUUCUACGUUUUGUUUCCUUUGCCCAUCGCUGCAUUUGAAAAUUGCUAAUUACCUUACAAGCCUAUUCAAUUUUCCUUUGCUACUAUUUUUUUCCUUCCCUCCUGCAAAGGAAGACGCUCGGCCAUCAUUUCUUCUCAGCCCUCAGUUCCCUCACCCAGCCGUCCAAGCAGGUCAACAGAGGAUCAGAGUCAAAGCAGAUCCUGAAAACCUAUGAGCAAAAGAUCAGUAAGUCCAGCUCCAUCCCUAGGAACACCCCCAGGAACGCAGGUUGGUGACCACCAACACUUUGCCCCACAUAAUUCAAUGUGCACACGACAGGCAAACAAAAUGAAUGGGAGCAUCUGUGUGGCACUUAAUUCAAGGUUAGGUACCAUCUGAAUGAUAGAGCCUGGGUUCCAAAGUUGUGAUGUAAUUUUACUUAUAUGUUUCAAGUCCUUAUUAUGUCUCAUAUAACCACUUAUAUCCCAAAAUCCUUUUCGGAAUCGUCCAAGAGAAGAAUCUCCAUGUGUCCCAAUCGAUGUUUAUUUGACCUUGGGUUACGAUAAAGAGCAGUGCCAUAUUCGUGCUAUAAUUUAAUACUGCUCUCAGCUGUUUCUAUUAUGAGUUCUGGACAUCCGGGAGCUCAUAAGAUGACUCUGGGAUUUGCAAAUUCUUCCCAUAUGUGUGGACUUGCAUAGACCUCUGAUGUUAAGAAAAUAAAAGCUCUAUUACAGCUGGA